rnacentral:rRNA from 1 species
AACGAACGCUGGCGGCAUGCCUAACACAUGCAAGUCGAACGACAGCACAGGGAGAGGUUGCGCUUGCGUGCGUCACGUGGCGGAAGCUGCCCUUAGGCUCGGGAAACUACUCUUUCAGGGGGGCUAACAUAGGGAAACUUACGCUGACAACACAUAUAACGUACUUGGGUGGGCAGGCGUUGGAUUAGCCUGUUGGUAGUGUAAAAGCCUACCAAGGCUACGAUCGUUAGCUGGGUUGAGAGGAUGAUCAGCCGCACUGGGACUGAGAUACGGCCCAGAAUCCUACGGGAGGCAGGAGUGGGGGAUAUUGGACAAUGGGCGAAAGCCUGAUCCAGCAAUGCCGCGUGAGUGAUGAAGGCCUUAGGGUUGUAAAGCUCUUUUACCCGGGAUGAUAAUGACAGUACCGGGAGAAUAAGCUCCGGCUAACUCCGUG